rnacentral:rRNA from 1 species
UACAGAGGUCUCGAGCGUUAGGCGGAAUCACUGGGCUUAAAGCGCGUGUAGGCGGAUCGUUAAGUACCUUGUGAAAUCCCACGGCUUAACCGUGGAACGGCUGGGUAUACUGGCGGUCUUGAGCCACCUAGGGGCCUGCGGAACAAGCGGUGGAGCGGUGAAAUGCGUAGAUAUCGGGAGGAACAUCAGUGGCGAAGGCGGCCAUCUGGGACAACACUGACGCUGAAGCACGAAAGCGUGGGGAGCAAACAGG